UGAAUUGGAUUUUUUUGCAAUAAAGUUAAGGCUUGUACUCUUGAUUUUUUUGUGAAAUUAGAUAAACAUAUGCAGUUGAAUUUUUAGAGGUGUUUGGAUGGUUGAGUAUGCCAAGUGCAUGCAAAAAUUUGUGUUAAUCUAACGGUAUGGAUAGAGGAUAUUUAAUCAUUAGUAUAAAGAGGUAUCAGAAGUAGGAAGAUUGGAGUUGUUUAAGAUUUUUGUAAUAUCUGGAGAUCUAUCAGCUGGAAUAAAGUGAAUUUUGACGUGGUAAGUUGAAGACUUAAAGGUGGAGCUAGAUACAAGGUUUGAAU
rnacentral:lncRNA from 1 species